rnacentral:rRNA from 1 species
AGAGUUUGAUCAUGGCUCAGGACUAACGCUGGCGGCGUGCCUAACACAUGCAAGUCGAACGAGCUUAUAUUUAGUAGCAAUAUUGAGUAUGAGCAAGUGGCGAACGGGUGAGUAACACGUAGGUAAUCUAGCCACGGAACGGGAACAACCCAGGGAAACUUGGGCUAAUGCCCGAUAAGCCCACGACCCGGGAGGGUUGAGGGAAAAGGCGGGGUAGCAAUAUCUCGCGUCUGUGGGUGAGCCUGCGGCCUAUCAGCUAGUUGGCAGGGUAAAAGCCUACCAAGGCGAAGACGGGUAGCCGGCCUGA